rnacentral:rRNA from 1 species
AUUGAACGCUGGCGGCAGGCUUAACACAUGCAAGUCGAGCGGGGGAGGGUGCUUCGGUACUGACCUUAGCGGCGGACGGGUGAGUAAUGCUUAGGAAUCUGCCUAUUAGUGGGGGACAACAUCUCGGAAGGGAUGCUAAUACCGCAUACGUCCUACGGGAGAAAGCAGGGGAUCACUUGUGACCUUGCGCUAAUAGAUGAGCCUAAGUCGGAUCAGCUAGUUGGUGGGGUAAAGGCCUACCAAGGCGACGAUCUGUAGCGGGUCUGAGAGGAUGAUCCGCCACACUGGGACUGAGACACGGCCCAGACUCCUACGGGAGGCAGCAGUGGGGAAUAUUGGACAAUGGGGGGAACCCUGAUCCAGCCAUGCCGCGUGUGUGAAGAAGGUCUUAUGGUUGUAAAGCACUUUAAGCGAGGAGGAGGCUCGUUUGGUUAAUACCCAAGACGAGUGGACGUUACUCGCAGAAUAAGCACCGGCUAACUCUGUGCCAGCCGCCGCUGUAA